CCAAGGACAGCUUGUGGACUGGGCUCUGGGCUCCCAGGCCAGCGCAUCUGGACUCAGGGCUGGACAGCAGUCAUCCAACGCAGGCAGCUAGAUUGGAAAUUAUGCAGAAUAAACCAUAAGAAAAACAUGUACAGAGCCAAGCAGCUGACUGGAAAUAGGAUUCCAGUCUCAUCAGUAAGCACUUAAUUGUGUGUCCACCGCUGCAGCUGUUGCUGGGAGUUUACUGGGAGGUCCUGUCUUCACAGAUAUCUGGAAGUGAAACUUGUCAUCCAUUUCUCCUAACUUCUUGCUGAAAACAUUUACAUCCUUAAGAUGGGACAUUCAGUGUUCCUGUUUGGAUUUGGGGGUAUGGAGGAGAGGUCUCCAGAUUUCAGGGUCCCAGCUACAUCAUAUCAGUGCCCAAGGCCAUGUCCACACCAUUGGGUGGAUGUGACAGGCCAAGUCAAGGGGGACCAAUGACACCAAUUUUUAGUGUCACUACAGAGUUGAUGGAGUGCUCCCAGGGAGCUUCUGCACUGACUUCAGCUUGUUGAAGGCAAGGUAAAGGCCUGAGAGGCUCGGGGUCUUGUCUGAGGUCUUCAGCUACAUGUCACAAGGCUGUCCUGUGCUCCGGAGCUGCUAGCACUCACAAGACGAGGGUCUGCUGUGCCCUAGCUGGGGCCCCCUUAGUGGCUCAGGGUGGCUGCAGCUUCUAUCGGGACCCCAGUGGGGCCUGGGGCUGAGUUUCUCAAUCAAUGUGUUGCCCAACAGGCCCCAGUGCUGCAGCAGGGCUACCCUCUGCCACUGUUCUCCUCCCUUUCACUGGUGGUGAA
rnacentral:lncRNA from 1 species